AGUGAACGCUGGCGGUAGGCCUAACACAUGCAAGUCGAACGGCAGCACAGUAAGAGCUUGCUAUUACGGGUGGCGAGUGGCGGACGGGUGAGGAAUACAUCGGAAUCUACUUUUUCGUGGGGGAUAACGUAGGGAAACUUACGCUAAUACCGCAUACGACCUACGGGUGAAAGCAGGGGAUCUUCGGACCUUGCGCGAUUGAAUGAGCCGAUGUCGGAUUAGCUAGUUGGCGGGGUAAAGGCCCACCAAGGCGACGAUCUGUAGCUGGUCUGAGAGGUGAUCAGCCACACUGGAACUGAGACACGGUCGAGACUCCUACGGGAGGCAGCAGUGGGGAAUAUGGGACAAUGGGCGCAAGCGUGAUACAGCCAUACCGCGUGGGUGAAGAAGGCCUGCGGGGUGUAAAGCCCUUUUGGUGGGAAAGAAAAGCAGCAGGUUAAUACCCCGCUGUUCUGACGGCACCCAAAGAAUAGCACGGGCUAACUUCGU
rnacentral:rRNA from 1 species